GUGUGCUAAGCGGGGAGUUAGCGGUGCCCUGUAACCCACAACCCGCUCAGUGGGGCUGAAUUCCUCCUGAAGGUGCACUCUUUCUCAGAAGGUUCUUAAGAGGGAAAGAUGACGGAAGGAAGCCAGGAAACUUAGAGGUUACGAACCCCGCCAGGUCCGGAAGGAAGCAACGGUAAGUAAUUCUCUAAGUGUUCCCUGGUGACUCUUUCCCGAUUUUCUUCUUAGGAAAGACCUGAGGGGGAGUGUAUCGUAGGGAGGUGCACAC
rnacentral:SRP_RNA from 1 species